UACUUGGCUUUGGGACAAUGGGUGGAAGAGGAAUGAAAUAAUUCUAAGUUGAGAAAAAAAAUCUCUUCAGAAAGAAAAGUUUCUUCACAUGCAGUAAUAAACAUGAGUGAAAAGAAUUGUGAACCUGGAAUUUCCAGCUGAAUCAGUGACAGAGAUGCCCUGAGAAAAGAAGAUUGUAAAGGGCCGGUGGCUGCAGGGUCUGCAUGCGGUGGAUGUGCUCUGUGUACAGAAGUGACUACCUGUGGUUGCAGUUUGGCCCCAUUCUCCUGCUUAAUGUAACCAUAUCCUUUGCUUGGGUAGCGUCUGGGUGAACAUCUGUAAAAGGUCAGGCAUGGGAUGGUUUCGGUCUAUGCUCGAAGUUUAGACAACUCUUUUACAAAAAUGGAGAAUGCAGAAUGCAAGAAAACACAGCUGGUCAGAAAACGAAAUUCUCUUUGGGAAGUUGCAUCAACACUUCGAAAAUUUGUUUGGAAUUAUAGAAUAGAAUCAUAGAAUCAUCGAAUCAACUGGGUUGGAAAAGACCAGAUGAAGGAUUUGGGGUCCUACAAAACCACCCCUUUAGUUUUUUCAGGUCAUCUUCUCCAUCUUUAAAAAUUAACCCUCAUCCAAAAUUUAUUAAAACACUGAAGAGGAACCAGUGUCUGGCAUCCAAUACAAGAGAUCAAGAUAAGGUC